ACUUGGAUAUGGAUUCUUCACGGUAACGUAACUGAAUGUGGAGACGUCGGCAUGAGCCCUGGGAGGAGUUAUCUUUUCUUCUUAACAGCUUAUCACCCUGGAAUUGGUUUAUCCGGAGAUAGGGUCUUAUGGUUGGAAGAGUGCAGCNNNUUUNUUGCAGNNCAUCCGGUGCGCUUAUAACGGCNNNUGAAAAUCCACAGGAAGGAAUAGUUUUCAUGCUAAGUCGNUACU
rnacentral:rRNA from 1 species